GACAGAGGCCUCAAGCGUUGUUCGGAUUCAUUGGGCGUAAAGGGUGCGUAGGUGGUGAUGCAAGUCUGGUGUGAAAUCUCGGAGCUCAACUCCGAAAUUGCACCGGAUACUGCGUGACUCGAGGACUGUAGAGGAGAUCGGAAUUCACGGUGUAGCAGUGAAAUGCGUAGAUAUCGUGAGGAAGACCAGUUGCGAAGGCGGAUCUCUGGGCAGUUCCUGACACUGAGGCACGAAGGCCAGGGGAGCAAACGGG
rnacentral:rRNA from 1 species